GGGAACACCGCCAAGGUCCCCUUCAUCUUCAGAUGGUCAUUCAAAGGCUACGUCUAGGAAGAGUAGACAAUCCACAUGGCUAAGAAGGUAGAAUUUAAGAACCGCGAAUCAGCCCAGACCAACAGUUAACGUUGAUCCUGCAACAGGGAAAGGAUCAGGCCCACAUAGAGCUAUCUGGGGGUUGUAGCUAGAGAAAAAAAUUCCUAUUGUACAUAACAAUUGGAAAGAUGCAUCAAAAUCUAUAAGGACCUAGUAUGGGAUGACAUUUUGGCCAAAUUUGAUAUCCCAGAAGCACUAACUGGCAAGAAGAAGGUCACGUCGACGGUGGCCACUAGAUGGAGGCAAUUCCAAUCUUCCCUGACCACAAAAUUUGUGUAUGCUGACACUAAGGGUGAAGAUAAAUAGGAUCCUUCUAUAAAAUAUGGUCUCGAUCCAUAAACAUGGGAGGAAUUUGCUGUAAGUCGCAAGACCCCUACCUGGGAAUUAGGAAAAAGGCACAGAAGAUACAAAAAUAUAGUGACUGCCCCCACAUACUUUCUCAUGGUGGUUAUGAUUUGCUUGAAAAUAAGUUAUUAGACGAGAAAAGGAAGACAAGACAAGAGGAGGCAAUGCUGACUAAGAAUACACCAUUGAUUGAGGACCCUCCAUCUCCCAUUGAAAGACAUGUUAAGUGGAAGAUGGCCCAUUCAAAGCGAUAUGGGCAAAUGACAUCUCAGGCGGCACAAGAAAUAUCUAAUAGAAUUAUGAGU